GACGAACGCUGGCGGCGUGCUUAACACAUGCAAGUCGAACGGAAAGGCCUGCUUUCCCUUGUGGAUUGCGGGUACUCGAGUGGCGAACGGGUGAGUAACACGUGAGUGAUCUGCCCCCAACUUGGGUAUAAGCCUGGGAAACUGGGUCUAAUUCCCGAUAGGACUGCAGGGUGGUGCCUGUGGUGGAAAACGAUUUUCUAGUGGUUGGGGAUGAGCUCGCGGCCUAUCAGCUUGUUGGUGGGGUAAUGGCCUACCAAGGCGGCGACGGGUAGCCGGCCUGGGAGGGUGGACGGCCACAUUGGGACUGAGAUACGGCCCAGACGCCUACGGGAGGCAGCAGUGGGGAAUAUUGCACAAUGGGCGGAAGCCUGAUGCAGCGACGCCGCGUGGGGGAUGACGGCCUUCGGGUUGUAAACUCCUUUCGACCGCGAGGAAGCCACCUGGUUGGAAGGGUGGUGACGGUAGUGGUAGAAGAAGCACCGGCUAACUACGUG
rnacentral:rRNA from 1 species